AGAAAGGUGAUCUCUGUUCAUUGGCCCAGAACAACAAUUUCAACUGCCAGUGGAUGCUGC
rnacentral:ribozyme from 1 species